rnacentral:rRNA from 1 species
UACGUAGGCAGCAAGCGUUGUUCGGAAUUACUGGGCGUAAAGAGUGUGUAGGCGGUGCUCUAAGUCUGUUGUGAAAUCUCCCGGCUUAACCGGGAGGGUGCGGCGGAAACUGGAGUGCUUGAGGGUGGGAGAGGUAAGCGGAAUUCCUGGUGUAGCGGUGAAAUGCGUAGAUAUCAGGAGGAACACCGGUGGCGAAGGCGGGUCUCUGGGCAAUUCCUGACGCUGAGGCGCGAAAGCGUGGGGAGCAAACGGG